rnacentral:tRNA from 1 species
UUGCGGCUGGAUCCCCUCCUUUCUAAGGAAGAACCCUAAUGGGGUCCCCGCCAGCGACGCGGCUUUUAGCCGAGGAGCUUGAGGGCGGGGCAAAGACCCCUUUCGGUUCUCUUGGAACAAGACGGAAGAGAGUCACUCUUACCGUCGCGCAUACCUAAAGCGGGUCUGCCGCCUUCGUUUCUCUUUCUUCAGCGAAUGACUUUGGAUCAGCGCUCGCGCGCCGUACCGCAGCCCUUUGGGCUGCUGGCGCUCCGCGAGGGCGCGGCACGAGCCGCGACGGCCACCUGCUAUUCAGAUCUGGCGGCCUUGCGAGGCUUCACCUCGAGGUCAACAGCUUGUUACGGGCAGAGCGCGGUCUUUAGGGCUUGUAGCUCAGUUGGUUAGAGCGCGCGCUUGAUAAGCGUGAGGUCGGAGGUUCAAGUCCUCCCAGGCCCACCACUUCCUUUCGACACGAAGGUUAUCAGGGGCCGUAGCUCAGCUGGGAGAGCGCCUGCUUUGCAAGCAGGAUGUCGUCGGUUCGAUCCCGUCCGGCUCCACCAACCAUCUUCUGUGAAGGUGGGACGUGUAGAGUAGAGAUGAUCGCCGGUGGUCAGUCAUUCGAAAAGAGUUUGCGUUAAGCCUCGUGCUUGGCGCCUGUUCUGUUUGACAUCGUAAAGAGAAGAUUUGUUCGAACUUCAUGAUCCGAAAGGGCCAUGAUUUGUCGCAAGGGACGCUCAAUCCCUUGCCUAUGAUGGGUCUGCCUAACCGCGCCCUCGAACGGAUCUCGAGAAGCUGGUCUUUUUGUGCCAAUUCCAUUGAAA